AGGGUUGUGACUCAGUGGUAGAGUACUUGCCUAGCAUGUAUGAAGCACUGGGUUCAAUCCCUGGCACCACAU
rnacentral:tRNA from 1 species